UCUCAAGAAGGAAAUUACGCCAUACACCAGUGUUGCCACACACCCAGAGAACAAGAUGACCCGACGUCCCAGCCUGGUCGUGCCACAUGAGCUGAGCAGUGGGUGGGCCACUGAGCCAGUGAUAGAAAUCACAAAUUACAAAACAUCAGAGUACUUUCUGGAAAUAAGUCUUCCUCUCCAGGGAACAACACAUUUGACACUUGACUGGGAGACACUACCGGAUCCUCCAAGGGUAAUGGUUCUCAAGAAGGCAGAAGCGAUGGUGACCAACAGACCUCCUUAAAGGCUCAGAUGCUGGAGACCUUCCUACUCCUCUCGACCAUGCUAGGAUGACUACAGCAGAGUCCCUGAGUCCUUUGAUGCAAGGGUCUAGCAACCACCAAACAGACAAGCCCUUCAGCCUGUCCUGGAGGGCGUUGAAUGGCAUGGCCUGGAGCUCACCCAGGGGAACCGUGCUCAGGAGGAGGAGACCAGAAAUUCUGAGAAGUUCCUAAGACCACCUGAAGAGAAGGAGCCUGCUGCCAAUGGUGUGGACACCACAGUGUGCUUGAGGAGCCUUCAGAAACGAGAACGGAUGUAGGUAAGAUCCGGACUCAUUUGACUUUGAGUUUAUCAAGAAGGAAGAUUAACAGACACAGGGGCUACUUGAGAGUGGAUGGUGGAAGGAGGAAGAGGAUCAGAAAAAAAUAACUCCUGGGUACUAAGUUUAGUACCUGGGUGACGAAAUAAUCUGUACAACAAACCCCCGUGACACAAGUUUACCCAUGUAACAAACCUGCACAUGUACGCCUGAACAUAAAAUAAAAGUUAAAAAAGGAGUGGGGUGUGGUGGCUCACGCCUGUAAUCCCAGCACUUUGGGAGGCCAAGGUGGGCAGAUCACGAGGUCAGGGGAUCGAGACCAUCCUGGCUAACACGGUGAAACCCCGUCUCUACUAAAAAUACAAAAAAUUAGCUGGGUGUGGUGGCGGGUGCUUGUAGUCCCAGCUACUUGGGAGGCUGAGGCAGGAGAAUGGCGUGAACCUGGGAGGCGGAGCUUGCAGUGAGCCGAGAUUGGGCCACUACAGUCUGGCCUGGGUGACAGAGUGAGACUCCGUCUCAAAAAAAAAAAAAAAGUUAA